UGGGGAAUAUUGGACAAUGGGCGAAAGCCUGAUCCAGCCAUGCCGCGUGUGUGAAGAAGGUCUUCGGAUUGUAAAGCACUUUAAGUUGGGAGGAAGGGCAGUAAGCGAAUACCUUGCUGUUUUGACGUUCCCGACAGAAUAAGCACCGGCUAACUCUGUGCCAGCAGCCGCGGUAAUACAGAGGGUGCAAGCGUUAAUCGGAAUUACUGGGCGUAAAGCGCGCGUAGGUGGUUCGUUAAGUUGAAUGUGAAAGCCCCGGGCUCAACCUGGGAACUGCAUCCAAAACUGGCGAGUUAGAGUAGGGCAGAGGGUGGUGGAAUUUCCUGUGUAGCGGUGAAAUGCGUAGAUAUAGGAAGGAACACCAGUGGCGAAGGCGACCACCUGGGCUCAUACUGACACUGAGGUGCGAAAGCGUGGGGAGCAAACAGG
rnacentral:rRNA from 1 species